rnacentral:piRNA from 1 species
UGCGCUACAUUUCAUGUUCAA